GACGAACGCUGGCGGCGUGCUUAGCACAUGCAAGUCGAACGGAAAGGCCCUGCUUUUGUGGGGUGCUCGAGUGGCGAACGGGUGAGUAACACGUGAGUAACCUGCCCUUGACUUUGGGAUAACUUCAGGAAACUGGGGCUAAUACCGGAUAGGAGCUCCUGCUGCAUGGUGGGGGUUGGAAAGUUUCGGCGGUUGGGGAUGGACUCGCGGCUUAUCAGCUUGUUGGUGGGGUAGUGGCUUACCAAGGCUUUGACGGGUAGCCGGCCUGAGAGGGUGACCGGCCACAGUGGGACUGAGAUACGGCCCAGACUCCUACGGGAGGCAGCAGUGGGGAAUAUUGCAAAAUGGGCGGAAGCCUGAGGCAGCAACGCCGCGUGCGGGAUGACGGCCUUCGGGUUGUAAACCGCUUUCGCCGGUGACGAAGCGUGAGUGACGGUAAUGGGUAAAGAAGCACCGGCUAACUACGUG
rnacentral:rRNA from 1 species